UCUAAAGGAAGCCGGAUGUGGGGAACCUACUAACCCACGGGCAAACCUCUGGUCUGACGGACAGAAAUCGCAUAUAAGGCUGAACAUGAGGGUAAGUCUGCAAUCCAAGGUAAAGCCCGAUAACUACACGGAAUCAUGUGCAGUAGAUGCGGCAGAUAGAUGGAGGGAAAGAAAC
rnacentral:ncRNA from 1 species